CCACAAUAUAGUUUCUUCAUCUUCAAGAAAAAACUGAAUAAACAAUCCACAAAGAGAUGUCAGAUGUGUAUGGCAAGGAAUAUCCAUCAUAUGAAAUUAUAAAAGGAUGGAAAUGGAAAUUGAAAUAUGGUCACAUCAGCCUACAGAAUGAAGGGCCAUCCAGCAAAGUUAUAUUGUCUGUGUUUUGGGACAACAGAUUAUUUACAAAAAAGAAUCAACAAUAACAGAGGCAUACUACAAGAACUUACUAUAAAAGUUACAGAACAAUAUCAAGAAAAAAGAUGUGGUUUGCUGUCGAAAGGUGUGUUGCUGCUAACUGACAAUGCACAUGCACACUGA
rnacentral:lncRNA from 1 species